AACAGUGACACAACAACCAAUCAACGGGUUGCUCCAGUCACAUCACUACCAAAAAACCCCAAAAAUCAGUCGUGUUGCUGUUUUCCUCGCUGGAAACGGGUCAAAAUUCGGCUAGAAAAUUUCACUUUUUGCAACCCUUUUUGUUCUUCUAUCCCUUUCCCGUCAUCAAUAAUACCGACGGAAGCCACCGGCGAAGCCGUUAGCACCGCCCUUCUCCCCACCAUGGCACAGUCCCCCUUUUAUCGCCCUCUCUCGUCGGCGACCAACAAACAACUCCGGUUACCACCAUCCGACUGCGCCCCUCCCCUCUCUCCUUUUUUCUCUUUCUAUCACCACUACCGCACCAUGUGAGUCAGAUUUGGCCAAAUUUUUAUCCGUCUUUACCAUGGCGAAGCCCACCAGAUAGCUUAAGUAUAACAG
rnacentral:lncRNA from 1 species